rnacentral:rRNA from 1 species
AAUAGAUACCCGGGUAGUCCACGCCGUAAACGAUGAGUGCUAAGUGUUAGAGGGUUUCCGCCCUUUAGUGCUGCAGCUAACGCAUUAAGCACUCCGCCUGGGGAGUACGGCCGCAAGGCUGAAACUCAAAGGAAUUGACGGGGGCCCGCACAAGCGGUGGAGCAUGUGGUUUAAUUCGAAGCAACGCGAAGAACCUUACCAGGUCUUGACAUCCUCUGCCAACCCUAGAGAUAGGGCGUUCCCCUUCGGGGGACAGAGUGACAGGUGGUGCAUGGUUGUCGUCAGCUCGUGUCGUGAGGUGUUGGGUUAAGUCCCGCAACGAGCGCAACCCUUGAUCUUAGUUGCCAGCAUUCAGUUGGGCACUCUAAGGUGACUGCCGGUGACAAACCGGAGGAAGGUGGGGAUGACGUCAAAUCAUCAUGCCCCUUAUGACCUGGGCUACACACGUGCUACAAUGGAUGGUACAAAGAGCUGCGAACCCGCGAGGGUAAGCCAAUCUCAUAAAGCCAUUCUCAGUUCGGA